UGGGGAAUAUUGGACAAUGGGCGCAAGCCUGAUCCAGCCAUGCCGCGUGAGUGACGAAGGCCCUAGGGUUGUAAAGCUCUUUCAGUGGUGACGAUGAUGACGGUAGCCACAGAAGAAGCGCCGGCUAACUCCGUGCCAGCAGCCGCGGUAAGACGGAGGGCGCUAGCGUUGUUCGGAAUCACUGGGCGUAAAGGGCGCGUAGGCGGCUGUCUAAGUCGGGGGUGAAAGCCCGGGGCUCAACCUCGGAACGGCCUUCGAGACUGGGCGGCUAGAGACCGGAAGAGGAGGGUGGAAUACCCAGUGUAGAGGUGAAAUUCGUAGAUAUUGGGUGGAACACCAGUGGCGAAAGCGGCUCUCUGGUCCGGUUCUGACGCUGAGGCGCGAAAGCGUGGGGAGCAAACAGGAUUAGAUACCCGGGUAGUCC
rnacentral:rRNA from 1 species